UACGGAGGAGGCAAGCGUUAUCCGGAAUUAUUGGGCGUAAAGCGUCCGCAGGUGGCACUUCAAGUCUGUCGUCAAAGACUGGGGCUUAACCCCGGAAAGGCGGUGGAAACUGAAGCGCUAGAGUGCGGUAGGGGUAGAGGGAAUUCCCGGUGUAGCGGUGAAAUGCGUAGAGAUCAGGAAGAACACCGGUGGCGAAAGCGCUCUGCUGGACCUUAACUGACACUGAGGGACGAAAGCUAGGGGAGCGAAUGGG
rnacentral:rRNA from 1 species